rnacentral:rRNA from 1 species
GACGAACGCUGGCGGCGUGCCUAAUACAUGCAAGUCGAACGCAGUGGGGACGGGUGAGUAACACGUGGGUAACCUCCCAUCAGAGGGGAUAACACUUGGAAACAGGUGCUAAACCGAUACUGAUGGAUGGACCCGCGGUGCAUUAGCUAGUUGGUGAGGUAACGGCUCACCAAGGCCACGAUGCAUAGCCGACCUGAGAGGAUGAUCCGCCACACUGGGACUGAGACACGGCCCAGACUCCUACGGGAGGCAGCAGUGGGGAAUAUUGGUCAAUGGGCGAGAGCCGGAACCAGCCAAGUCGCGUGAAGGAUGACUGCUUAUGGAUUGUAAACUUCUUUUGUAGGGGAAUAUGUACCCUACGAAUAAGCAUCGGCUAACUCCGUGCCAGCAGCCGCGGUAAUAC